CCUACGGGAGGCAGCAGUGGGGAAUUUUUGGCAAUGGGCGCAAGCCUGACCCAGCAACGCCGCGUGAAGGAAGAAGGCUUUCGGGUUGUAAACUUCUAUUGUCAGGGACGAAGCAAGUGACGGUACCUGACGAAUAAGCCACGGCUAACUACCUGCCAGCAGCCGCGGUAAUACGUAGGUGGCCAGCGUUCUCCGGAUUUACUUGGUGUAAAGUGCGUGUAGGCGGGACUGCAUGUCAGAUGUGAAAACCACGGGCUCAACCUGUGGCCUGCAUUUGAAACUGUAGUUCUUGAGUACUGGAGAGGCAGACGGAAUUCCUAGUGUAGCGGUGAAAUGCGUAGAUAUUAGGAGGAACACCAGUGGCGAAGGCGGUCUGCUGGACAGCAACUGACGCUGAGGCGCGAAAGCGUGGGGAGCAAACAGGAUUAGAUACCCGGGUAGUC
rnacentral:rRNA from 1 species